CUACACACCGUGGUCAGUGCGUACUGACGUCGUUUGUUUGCGUUUACGAAAUAUAUCCAUCAUUUAUUUUGUCUGAAUAAACAAUCGUGAAUUGGUUAACGGAAACACUCCGUGUUGAUACCAUUAUUAUUAUUACUUAUUAUUUUAGUGAUGUGCUGAAAGGUCGAUCGUAAUAGUUAUCGGUUCCGAUAACAUGGAUAGGCUCAAGAGGCCCUUUUCCUUGUUUAAAUCGGCCAAAAAAGACGAACCGUCUCAAGAUAGCGUAGCUUCCGAAAAAUCGUUCCGGGAUAAAGUAGAUUUUUUCGAAAAGUCGAUAGAUUCCGAAGAUAGACGGGAUAAUGGUAAAACUUCAAAAUAAUAAUUAUAUAUUUAUAUCUACCUAUAGAUGUUUUAUUUUUUUUUUUAAACGGCUGUGAUCAAAAAAGUGUAAAAUUUUGCGAACAUUAAAUAAACCAAAUAUUAGCUACUAUAAAUAUCAGCUAUUUCCUACUAUUUUAAUAAUAUUAUUAUAAAAUAAUAUCGUAAGGUUAUAACCUACCAAGGUUACCUUAUAUUAUGUUUUUAAUAUUUGUAGGGCAAUAAUGGAAAUAAACAACAUAACAGCCUAGUGAUAACACACGGUUCGUAAAAAUGAUAUAGGUAGGAAAAUAUAGGUAGAUAAAUAGAUAAAGUUUGAUUCGAUUAAUUACAAUAGAUAUUUUGUAAAAUUAAAAUUUACUCGAAUUAUUAAAAACAAAUAAUGAUUUAAAUAAUGUAUAUACCUAUUUAAAAUGAAAAACCGAUUUGUAAAAAAUCUAUACCUAAAUUCACUAUUGUUACACGAGUGAUACGAGUUUAUAUUAGAUUAGGUAUGACCAACGAGAGCAAUUUCUUUACGACAACCAUAUGGUUUUUUAGUUUUUUUAAUUUUUCCGAGAAAUAAUUUCAGAACGUCGCGGAAUAGGAACAGAAUAUAGACGGCAUGCAACUCUAAUCUAUAGUUUAGAUAUUAUGUUUCUCGCAUGACAGAUGGCAAAGCACAUGGUACAUUAAAGAGGUAUUAUUUUGUUUUUCAUGCAAUUUUGAACGAUACAGUGAAAAAAAAACUAGUGUUCUAAAAACUACAGUCAUUUAAAUGCGACCACUUUUGUUUUUUGAAAUCGCUAGAACCGAGCCGUUAUAACAUUGCUUUCAAGUUUUAGAUCCAAAAUCCAAUGUUAAAUAUAUGAAUAUUAGAUUUUCAAUAUCUAUAAUCAAACACAGGCUCGUUGGUAUUCAGGUUGGUCGGGGAGCAAGUGCACCAUUUUCGAGUACAUUUAGAGGACGUUAUACCAGCAUGUGCUGUCUCUGUCUUCAAACCGCGUGACAUUGCAAAUUUUCGUUCAGCAGGGACAACUCUGCGCUGUUAGUUUUAAUAUUAGAGUGAAUUAACCGCUAUUUUAAACUUAAAGAUAAGAAUAUUACUUAUGUCACGUCGUCGUGUUUUUUUCGUAGUUUUAAUUUUUGAGUGAGUAUGAGUGCGUGAAAUAUCACGCUUUAAAAAUGCUUAUAUAUCGCUUAGAAAUUAAAAUAAGAAGAAAAAAUACCGACGAUAACCCGACACAUAUAAUGUUCUUAUCUUUAAGUUUGACAAUAGGUCAAUUCACUCUAAUAUUAAAACUAACAGCACAGAGAAAGUGUUAUGCCUGCUGAACGAAAAUUUGCUAUGUCGCGUGAUUUUAAAACGGAGACAGCACAAUAUGCUGGUAUAACGUCCUCUUAAGGGGACGAACAAUUUAUAUGAACGCUACAUUAUUAUUACAUAUUUGAUAUUACUAACAAUCAGUAAUAUUAUAUAAUUGUACCAGACAAAAUCUUAUCUUUUAUGCCAUUUUAUAGAAUAUUUUUAUGUAGUUUUUCAGUAUGACUUUCAAAAUAAAAAAAGCAUACAUUUUUUUAUAUUUCAAGAUUCAGUCUAAAAUAUUUAUUUAAAAAAAAAAAAAAAUGAAAAAUGAUCAUAGGUAUUAAAUUUAUUUUGUUCCCAAAAUAAUACACGUAGGUAUCUUAAAUUUCGAAAUAAAACUUUUGUUUUAGAGGUGAAGCACUUAAAAUUUAAGUACAUGUUUAAUAUGCCCUGUGCAUAAAACGUAUAAAUUCCGGUCAGUGUUUGGAUUUUGAUAAUUUCGGUUUCUGACUAGUAUUUAAACUGUUACUUGUAUUUGUAUCGGUUAGUUCUUCAGUAUUUAUCUUAUUCCAUUUUCAAUAGUAGGGAAACUCUCUCUAUUUUUGAAAUAUUUUCAGCAUACUCAUAAAUUAAUAAAUGUUGUUCUGUUACAAGCAAAUAGGUAUAUAUUUCCCAAAGAACCUAUUUUCAUUAAAAAUGCGGAUCAAAUAAUUAUUUCACAUAAGUAGGUAUCUAACCAUAAUAUUUACGAUAAUUAAUAAUGACAUCAAAACAAUCAAAAUUUCAAUAACUGAAAUGAGUUCAUAGAUACAAUGUUCAUUGUAUCUAUUAAAUCUAUGUAUACAUAUUAUAUAAUAACAUGUCCUGAUUGAGUAACUGACUGAUUCAUUAUCGCCUAGCCCAAACUACUGAACGGAUCAGGCUGAAAUUUGGCAUAAAGACAGCUAUUAAGAAAUAGAUAUCCGCUAAGAAAGGAUUUUUGAAAAUUACUUUUCUUAGGGGAGUCGAAUAGGAGUUUUUAGGUAUUUUUGGUAUGAAUAUCUAAUUGUUUAUUCAUGGGUUACCUUGGUGACAGAUGAAAAUUUGGUUGUCACGGACAAGAAAACUAUUAUUAGUAUUAUUAUUUACACUAUUAUCUAGCAAUAGCAAAGAAUUCCCGGGUCAGCUAGUAUGAUAUAUUUACAUUUUUUUGUUUGUUUUUUUUUAUUUAAGUAUUAUACAAUCUGUAAAAUAAUAUUUACAAUAAGAUAGUUAGUUAGCUAAUAAGUCCCGACACCACGUUCGCUUUAAACGCCUUCUGGGGUUGAGUGAGUGUAUAAUUCAGCUAUUAGUGGAUUCCUACUGGAGAUCCUGUUUGUGGGUACUGAAAUGGAGACGUUUGUAGAAGGUUUUGGCUGUUUAUAACUAUUUGUAUAUGAAGGUCUUUAUAUCGUUGGAGACAUAGUAUGGAGCUUUGUUAUUUAUUCUUUUUUGGUAUAUUUAUAUGAGUAGGUAAUAGAUACGCUGUAAAUUAUUAUUUAAAAAAAAAAAUAAAUAUAUUAUUGUGUGUAUAGGUCACUAAGUCAAUUGGAUUAGAUAAUAUUUUACGUGUGUUCUUAAAUGAUAAAAAUUAUAAUCUUAAAUAUUAAAGCGUUAAAAUAUUUUAUUGCAAUUAAACCAUUAACCAUUUAAGUACCUAAUAUUAUAAAGGAUAGGUACUUAAAUAUACUUAGAAUACUCAGGUAAUUAUUUAAAUAGGAGCUGUAGAUUAGGUUUUUUCAAAACCCAUCGGCUAAAUCUUUUGGAUUUAGUGAAAAUAAAUUGAUCAGUUUUGAAUACUGUAAAUUAUUAUUUUGUAUUCAUAAGAUAUUUUUAAUUUGUUUUAUUAUAAUUUAUAAUGUAUAUGUAGGUAUUAUAUAAUAUUAUUGGUUAUUUUUUUUCGAGAUUUGUAUCUGCUUAGAUGUUUCAUUUCGAUAAUAAUAUAAAUACCCUGUCAUUACUAUUUAUGUGUAAUAAAAUUGAUCUCGUAUACUAAAUAUUUACUAUUUAGGCAGCCUACGUGGUGGGCUAAUUAAAGUUGUGAUAUUAUCACAACUUUAUUUAGCGGACUAAUUUGCGGACCUACCUAUAUAAUAUAAUAUAUUAUAUAAAAUAAUUAUAAGUACAAAAUUCUAUAUUUCAUUUAGUGAACAUUAUUUUUACCUUAGGUAGUUAAUUAAUGUUUAUCUAACAUUGAAAAACAUAAUGUAAAUGUCUACUUAAAUUAUAUUAUUAUAAAAAAUGUAUACUUAUUCAAUGAAAAUAUUAAUGCUAGAUAGGUAGGUAGAUAAAAUUUAUUUUAUUCAGUUACACACAUAAAUAAUAUUAUCAUUAUAAAUGUAUAAUCUAUAUAUACUAAGCAUAUAGGUAGUAUUUUUUUUUUUUUUGAUAACUUUUAGUGGUUAAAUAUUAAUUUUAAGUUCUAUAAAGAUUUUAUCGUGGUAAAAAUAUAAUGGUUCGAUUUUUAAAAUACUCAGAAAAUGUCAUCAAUGAUAAUUCUCCGAUAUUCUUACUUAUUAUAUUUUAAUAAUCCACUAUAAUUAUUACAUUAGAAAACACUUCAUAUACUUUACAUUUAUAAAAUAUGUAUUAUAAUAUUUUUAUUAUUAAUAAUGACUUAUAAUCAAUCACGUGAUAACAUUUAGGUACGUUACACAUUUUAUCGACCUAGUAAAUCCAUUUUUGAAAAGUAAGUACCUUCACCUAUUUCAUAUUUGUAAUCAAACAUUUAUAUAGAUUGUCGAAAAAAAAAAUGAUGAUUAAUUACAUAAUGAUUAUAUUAUAUUAUAUAUCUCUAAUAAUAAUUUUCUUCUUUUCUCAGUUAAUAUUUGAAAUAUUUCACUAUAUUAUUGUUAUUUAUGCAAUCUUCCAUUCGCUUAUUUGUAAAUAACUUCUCACGGGAGUACGUAGAAUAAUAUAAUAUUUGCAAUAUUGCAUUUCAAUCACACUAUAGUUCUAAUAAUUUUCAAGUAUGUGUUGUGCUAAAAUUAUAUUUAAACGAAUUUUGAAUUGUAGGUCAAAUACUUUCAGCUAGACAAAAUUUUUUUUAUAAUCAAUAAUAAUUAACAUACAUUUGAUAUUUUUUAUAAUAAUUAAUAUUAUUUAAAAAUUUGUCUACGUGAAUAUAAUAAUAACUAUUAUAAUCUCGUAAGUAAACACCUUUUUGGUAAUAAUAUGCGCUACCUAUAACUAAAUACCGAUUUGGAAAAUUACAGUACGUGCUGUUUUGCAAAAACAAAACCCAUUAUUAUCGACGCAUAAAUUUGUAUGUAUAACGGCUUAUGAAACCGGUUUAAAUGUUUUCUUCUUUUUAUGGCUCGAAGAUAAAUAAAAUAAAAUGGUAUUUUUUUAAAUUUGCUCGGUGCGGUCGUUUAAUUUGGACGCCUACGAAUCAGUUCCCGAGCGUUUAUCGGAUUGUUCUCCCAAAUCGAUUUUCGGAUAUUUUUUCGAUAACAGUGCACGGGGAAAGUUUACUGACUUUUUAAAAAUAAAAAGGUAGCAAAUAAUCUGGUUAAGUUAAAUAUUGUUUGGUUACCGACAUUAUAUAUACAUAUUAUAUUUUAUGUCUGGUUUCCUUAUUUGGUUUUGGAUAUACGUUAAAAAAAAAAAAAAAACAUGGACUUAACAAUAGGAAGGAAAUGUUUACAUGGUGACAGACAUAACCGUUAUUAUUAUUUCAUUUCGCAUUUGGUAACCUUUCUAUAACAUCAUUUAGAUACUACAUUUUCAAAAUAUAGAAUAUAAAGUAUAUGAUAAAUGUACAAGAUAAAUAAAAAUUAAACACUUUCUGUACAUGGACUGUAUAUUUUAAUAAUAUAAUAUAAUAUAGAAAAUAUCUAUUCGAUUAACUAAUCAGUUUUUUGGUAUGUACGCGUAACCAUGACCGAAUGUAUCGGCAAUAUAUGGUACAAUUUUUUAUUUCGACUGACAUUUUUAAAAAAAACUUAAUUACCCGUACCUUAAACUGAUUAUAGUAAAAGAGAGAAGAGAUACUGAGACGUGCUGGCUAGCAUAAAAAUUCCGUUAAAUCUUUCGCAAAGAUCAAAUAAGCUCGGGCUAUAGAAAUAGAAUGUCUUAUACAUUCAGGAAUUGGGAGACGUCUCUUCUCAAGCAGAUCGAUUGAAUUACCAAUCUAAUGAAACGCCAGAGUAGUCAUCAUAGAGAUGACAUCAAUAACAAGCCCAAUAUUUGGCUUAAGUCCCUUUUUUUGACCAAAAUAAUCAUUAAAACUACUGAUUCGACUUGUCGAUUGACAUGCGGUUGUGUUUUCAGACAAUACGUAUGAUGAAAUUUCUAUUGAAAUAUACAUAUGAAUUUAUGAUAAUCAAAAAAAAAAAUACUAUGUGGGCACACAUCCUUGCUCUUUAGCACUUACAGGGGUAUGGCCGUAUGGAUAGAAACGAGCCGGAGACGUGUAAAAUUGAAUUUUUUAAAAAAAGUAAAUUAUAUCGAUAAUCUAUCUUAAAAUCAAUGGCAUAAUUAAAUUUGUGCAAUGUGCAACAAAGUGGAUGGGAAUAACUAAUAUUUGAAUAAGUAUAUUAUGAAAAUAACAAGGCAAUUUGAAAUUAAAUCAUUACAAUACGGAAUCAAUAGAUAUUUUCACAAAACUCAAGUGUUGAAAAAUCAUUUGCAGACUUUGCCAAUUUAUGUACAUUUUGUGACCAACGAAAACUAACGUACUCGUAUAUCCCAUAUUUACCCACCAUUAAUUUAUACUUUAUAGAUUACCUGUAGUUAUUAUUUACUUUAUCUGUAUAUUUAUUAUCCUAUUUUACCUUAUUAUUGUCACACACGAGUGAAUCACUAUUGAAUUAAAUUAUCAUUAGUACAAAUACGCGGAACAGGAUAUAAAAACUGGGCGUUAGACCCUCCUUUUGCUGACCUCAGUGCUAACCUACGAGUUUAAUUAUUUUUGAUUUGAUUGAGACGCUUUUCCAAAAUGUAAGAUCGUAUAAAGUGUACAAAUGGUGUUUUCUGAAAUAUAUUAAACACAAUAUUAUUAUUUUAUACAUUUUAAUAUUAUAAAUUUCAAAGAAAUCCCUAAUAAUAUUGUAACAACAAUUAUUGGCAAUAAAUAUUAUCAUAUAUUCUUAUAUCUCUGAUAAUGACCUAUAUAAAUCGUUAAUUAUUAUUAUAUUAUUAUACACGUUCUUUAACAUAGUAAUAUGAACGAAUCAACCGAAUAUACUAUAUCGAGUACAUAAACACUUAUUCUUUUGACAAUUAUUUGAUUGUUGAUUUUGUAAAAGCGUAUACUUUUGAUUAUAUACUAUCGAAAUAUCUUUUAUACAAAAAUACGCCCGACAGCGACGAUAAAACGAGGUGACUGCUACAUAAUCGUAGCACCUAACGGUCAAUUUAUGUAUAAAAAGAAAAACUAGAAAGCCAGUACAUAUUAUUAUUGUGAUUGUUUUAUACAUCCUUGCAACGUUUUUCCAGUACAUGAUACUAUACUCAUAUAGAUAGACCAGUGUUGUUGGCUAGGAAGGUAUAGGAUAUAUAUUUUAUAUGAUAAUUUAAUUUAUAUCAGUAACUUAACAACAAAAUAAAUUAUAAUUGUCAGUAUUUCGAAUAUUUUAAUUGUGUCGAAAAAAUUAUAUCCACAUAAAUAAAAAACAUGGACAUUAAUAGAAAUAAAAUAAGUUAUAAAUAUUAUAAUAACUCAUUCCUAAACGAUUUUAGAAUUAAAAAAACAUGUUUUUAUGAAAAUUUAAAGAAGACAACAUUCUACAAUACAUACUUAUUCUCAAAACUUAGAUAAUUUCCCCUUCGAUAUGCAUCUACUAGAAAUAGAUAAUAAUAUACUGUUAUUUCGAAAUUUUAAACGAGUUUAAUUAUAAAAUAAUAAUAAUAAACGAGAUUAUCGACAAAUAUUCACGUAAUUCUCUCGAAAAUUUAAUCUACUUUCCUUUUUAUAAUAUAUGUUAUUAUUCUAUAGUUACUGCGUUAUCCAGUGUAGUUAAUAGUUACCAAUUAUUGUUAGGUACUCAGUUACUUCGAAUCGAACAUAUUUUUCGUGCCUACCGAAAAACGCUUGUGUAACAUCCUCUUAACAUAUUUUAUUUUAAUUAUACCAUUAAUUGGUUUUCCACAAUACAUUUCCAAUAACCCAUUUAUAAACUAUUAAAAAUAUUUUUUUUAUACUUGCGAAAUUGACAUCUUAAAUAUAAUGUAAAUAUUUGUUUUUGAUAAGUAGGUAUAUUAUUAUGUAGUUGUUUAUCACUUUUAUAUUAACCUGUUUAUUUAAUUUUAAGACUCAUUUUUCACACGCUCAAUAGUAUACCAUAUUAUUAUAGUUCAAUUAGAUAAACUUAAAUAAUAUGACACAAUAGGUAUUGUUUAAAAAAGAAAAAAAGAAAUUGAAUGUUAUUGACCCAUUUUUUGAGAGUUUGGUUAGAGAAUAGGUUUUCAUGCGCAAAUUAUUCGGGAUAAAAAAUAUAUAGACGGUUAAUAAAAUGGGCCACUUAGUGGUUGUGUGUUCGUUAUAAUACUAGAAAGUUAAACUAAUGUAAAACAGUGAAAGGCAGGGUAUCGGGCGAUCAUCUUGUUUCGCUCAUUUUGAAGUAUAUCAUGGUAAUAUAUUAUUUUUAAUUUGAACGCUACACUAUUAUUGAAUAUCAAAAAUGAUUCCUAACAGAAUUCAACAAUUAUUUUUAAAUGCGGAUUUUUGAUUAUUUUCAUGCCUAUUACACAAAUGAUUAAAGUAAAAUUUUUAUCAAGUGCCACCAAUAUUCUGUUUAAUUUCCUAUUUACAUAUAUCGUUGUGUAUUUAUGAUAAAUAUUUAUUGUAGACAGUUCCUAUUUAUAAAAAAUACAAAUAUAAGUAUUAAACUAAUAGCUCUCAUAUUCUGUUGAGAUUUAAAGUGGAUAAUAUGUUUUAAACAAUAUAGUAUAAUGAACAUUAUAGUAUUAGAAAUUUGGAUUAAUGUCAAACUUAAGUAAUUAUUUUGAAUCCCAAUUUCAGCGUACAUAAUAUGUUUAAUCAUUUAAAUUUUUUUCAAUUACAUAUUUUACCUUAUGAAAAAAAUUCUUUACAGUUUUAAGAAUGGAAAGACAAUUAUUGUAUAAAAGAAAAUAAUAUAAUUAACUGCAAAUUCGGAAAAACUGGUACUUAUUUUAUUUCUACGUGUUCAAUUUGUAUUUGUUUUAAAAAUAUUUAGGUUUUGUAAAAAUGAUAUUUUUUGGCAAAUUUCAAAAUCCACUAAAAAUAUUUUAAUAAGCAAUUUUAUAGGUAUAUAUGAUAAGAUUAGUUUAUACAUGGAAAUAAAAAUGAAAUAAUUUUUUAAAUAGCAAAUAUAUAUUUAUAGAUUUUAAUCAUAACUUACCUUAAAUGAUUAACUAUAACAUUAUGAAAGAGGUACCAUCAUAAUAAUGUUUUUUAUUUAUCAUCCUGUACGUAACCAUAUAGUAUAAUAAUGUAGGUCAUAUUAUUAUGAGGCGUUUAGUAUAGGCAAUUUAUAUUUUGAUUUGCAUUAUGAAAUAGUACUUUUAUUAUACAUUAGUAUUAAAAAUACAAUUCAAAAUAUUGUUAUAUAUGUCGUAGGCCAUAUGGAAAAUUAGUUUUUUUGCGAAAAGACUAGUCUCUUUGCAAUGGGGUAACCCGUUUACGAACUACUUUUAUUUUUCUAAACGGCCUGCUGUUUUUCAGGUUAUUGCUUACAGACUAACAGUAGUUAGGUCUUUUAAGAACUGCAAUCAUUAGAAUAUAGUAACAACCAUUUUACUUAUUUUAUUUUAUGGGUAAUUUAUUACUUUUAUAAAAAAAUAAGACAUAAAAUUAUUAUAAAAUAAUAAUACAAUUAUAUUACAUGUAAAACUGAAUAAGUAUAUAUUAUUAUAUAGUAUUAUAUUUUUGUAAAAUAAAACUAGUAAUACAAUAGUUAAAAACUUUAAAAUAAUCUAAACUACACUGAUACUCACCAUUGAUACAGUUUAUAAAAUAAAUAUAAUACCUACUGUAUAAUAAGUACCAUAUUUAAUCAGACUAUUCAGUUUACAUGUUAUAAUAAUUCUAUUGAUCUUUUUUUUUGUAGAAAUAAUAAAUUAUCCUAAAAAUGAAAUAAGUAAAAUAACUAUUACUAUAUUUUAAUGAUUGUACUUCUUAAAAGGCCUAACUGCUGUUAGUCUACAUGCAAUAAACCUGAAAAACAGUAAACCGUUUGGACAAAUAAUAAGUAGUUCACAAACGGGUUACCUCAUUGCAAAGAGUCUUGUCUUUUCGCAAAAAGACUAAUUUUACAUAUGGCCUACGACAUACACAAGUAAUACCUAUAUAUACAUUAUAAUAUUCCAAUUAAACACGGAAAUAUAAUCACAAAAAUAUAAUACUAUUAUUAUAUUAGACAUAUUAAUGUUAAAAUGUAAACAUUUAAAACAAGUUUUAUAAAUUACUGUCUACGAAAAAUAAUGUAUUUCAUCAUAAUAACUACUUAUAUUAUACUCAAUGUAUUAUUUAAUGUUUGCAAAUAAAUUAUACUAAAUACGAUCACAGUCGUAGAAGUCAUAGAAGUUAAUAAUAUUAUCAUUAAAUAUAAUACAUUUUCACUAAACAGCGAUUAGCAGCGCAGGGGGAUUGGUUGAUGGGUCGGGUGAUGAAACUUUUGAGGAAGUGCUUGAAGAACGUGACGUAUACACAAAAGAUGGUCGGAAAAAAGGAAAAAUGGUUAUCGUUAAUAAAGUUACGGUACACAGGAGUGUGAAAACUGUUACUAGCCCUGAACUAAGUCCUAUGGUCAAACAUUCAAUAUCGUUUGAUCGAGAAAAUCCAAUGAGCAUAUCCUCGUCUAGAGAGAGUCUUUCAUCGCCAAAUACUUGGAGGAAGUUAUUCGUCGGUACCCGGUCACAAUUUGACUUGCACAUUGAAGAAAUAAAAAGUAAGCGAUAUAAAAUAUUAUGUUUAAAAAUCUAAACAGAUAAUUGUCUAAACGUAUUCUGUUAUGUAAUAUUAUAAAAAACGCAAUCAUUCAAUUUGUGUCAAUCAUUUUUUAGACUUUAUACACUUUCUAUUAAAAUGACGAUCUUGAAAUGUCAACUUUGAUAUAUAUAUCUUAUAUUGUUUUUUUUUUUAUAAAAUAAGAGUUUUAAAAAGUUUGCUUAAUUUUUCUAUGGCUUAAAAUGUUGAAUGAAACGAUAAUUUAUUGGAGGUUUUUUUUUUCGCGAAAGUAGGUAAACACCAUUAUAAUAAUAAAUUGAUACAUUUAUUACCAAUAACCAUUAUAUAUUUAGGGGACGACAUUCAGCACUGCGUUCAACAUUAAAUACUGAAUUAAGUACAUCAUUCUCCCCUCAUACAGCUAGUAUAAACCAUAUCUAUCCAUGCUAAUAUUUUUUAACCUUUGUGUAAAUUAAUACUAUCAUUAGUAUAUUCUCAGUAUUUUUUUAAACGAUAAGUGUAUUAAAUAUGUACUUUUAUUAACUAUGUAAAAUAUUAUAAUUUAUAAAUUAUUAUAUAUUGUACUCAUAAAUUAUAAAAUUAAAAAUGAAGUUUUUGACGUUACGGCCAAAACGCUGCGGACCUAAAAAAAAUAAAAAUCUAUUUGUGGGUCGUGGUUCGUGACCCAUAACUCGGGAACCGUUGAUUUAUGUUAUAUUUUUAAUAGCGUUAUCGUCAUUUACAAUAGAAAAAUCCCAUGUUUGCAUAGAUACCUAUAAUAUGUGUUUGUGUGUUUAUUUUUUAAUUAAUCAGCCAUAGCAAUAAUACGUCGUUACGUUUUAGAUUUUUUGUUUUCUUUGGAUAUGCAUUUGUUUCACGGUUGAUAUGAUGUAUAGAACUAUACACGCAGGAAUAUUAUGCAAACUCAAUAUUUGUAUAAUAUACACAUUUGGUCUUUAGCAUAGAAAGUUUUUUGACUUUUGAUGUUACCUACAGCGUGCCUAUGAUAUAAAACUUAGGUUCCUAUGUAUAGUUUUACACUUAUUAUUCACAAAUCAUAGGUAUACAAAUCUACAGCUUAUUUUUAUUUUGAUACGAUUGCUCUACAUAUUAGUAUUAUAUAAUCCUUAAAAAGAACAAAUAAAAACUAGAAUAUUUGGCUAUUUCCCAAAAAAUAAUUUUUUUUUUCAGAUUCAUUAAAUGAUGUUAUCAUAGUAGCACUGGUCUAUAAAUGUACAUGAUUUAUUUAUUCUGCACGCUUUUAACUAUACUAUAUUACCAGUUAAAGUUAAAAUUACUCGUUUAUGGAAAUUAAAAAUAUUGUACUACCUAUUCUUUAAUUUCGAGUCUCUCUUUCCGAUAAAUAAACUACCAUUGUAAUAAUGGUCCGUCCGUCCGUCGUAAAACAAGCGAUGUAACAGUUUAUUUCUAUAGAGGUUAAAAUUAAAAUAGCAUCGAAUAAGUCUAAUCAGUUUCAGUAGAUUUUAAGAAAGUAUAUUGUGCAUUUUACGUCUUAUUUAUAGCCGCUAAUAAAUCCCCGGAUGAAGUAGGCUAGUCAAAUUAUUCUACUAGUGCUUUCGGCCAAAAUAAAUAAAAUCGAUUAGAAAAAAAAUUUAUUCAAUAAUGGCAAAGUGUAAAUUAUUUUAAAAAUCAUUGUUGCCGUUAAAAAGGUAUUAAUUACAUUAUUUUUUCAAAAGAAACCCGCGUAAUAAUUAUUUUAAACAUAUUAGGUAUAUGUAUAGUUAUGUUUUAUUUUUAAAAUAACAUUUUGCAAUGUCAUUUAUGAAUUUAGCUAGUAUAUGUAUAUGAAUACAAUUUAGUUUUAUAUGACAAAAAUAAAUAUAUAUAUAUAUAUAUAUAUUAGAUUAUAUUUCAUUUUGGUACUGAUAUUUUUAAUAUAUAUAGUUUUACAAUUUUAUUAUAAUUAAGUUAUUAAAAUAUAAUAUUAUGAACCAUAGGUACCUACCUCAAUUCGUGGUACCUAUUAUCAAAUUAAUUAAAACUAUUUAAAACAGUUUUUUUUUUUUUUAUAAACGCAGUUUUCUAUAAACCUAAAAUUAUUUCAUUGUCUAAUUUUAUUUAACUAAAAGCUAUUACAAAGAUUUGAAGUCACGCGACGUGAAAACUGUGUUAUUUUACUUGUAAAAUUUACUUUAUAGUCCAUCCACUCAAUAAUAGGUACCUAUGGGUAAAAUAUACUCAAACUUUUGUCUAUAGUGUAAGUUACCUUGUAAUUAUAACGUAAUCAAAAAAAAGUUUUGUUAUCACGAUAUAUUUAUUGAAAAAUUAGGUUAGGUUAAGUUAAAACGAUCAAACCUAACAGUAUAAUAUUUUUAGACAGGCAUAUAAUAAAGGUCUGGUCCUUAUUAUCAGACAUUUGUAUUUGUAAAUUACACGUCAGAAAAUUUUAAAACUAUAAAUAUUAUACAAAUCAAAUACAACAAUUACAUUUAAAGCAGUUUAUUAUCAUUAAUUAUUUGCUCAUUUUACGAGCGGGAAUCCAAAAUUUAAUACAAUAUUUGAUACUUACAUAAUAUUAUUAAUUUAAGUAUAAGUAUUAAGUAUAAAUUCAUAUUAGCCAGUAUUAAAAAAAUAGGUAUUAGGUAUAGUUACCAAAACAUACAGUACAUACUUAUAAGAACGCUCUGUCAAUUUUUGACAUAUAACGAUUUUUAAAUUAUUUAGGUUUUUAUACAAAUACAUCUACUUACGCAUAAUAUACUAAAUUAUCAAAUUCUUUCAAAAUUAUGUAUAGAAAUAUAGUUUAUUGCUUUAAAUAUGAUUAGAAACCGAGAACUAUGCACGCUCGCAGAAAAAUCGCGUUCCAAAGUUCUAUGUUUCCAUAGUAACAAAUAAUACAAAAUUGUUAAGUACAACAUAAACUAUAUAAUAAAUGAUACAAAUGUCAUAUAAUGAAACUAUGUGAUAAAAUAUAUUGUUUUAUAUUAUUAUGUAUAAUAUAUAAAUCACUAUAGUUGCAGAAAGGGAGCAUGUUCAAUUUCUGGAGAAAUUGAGUUUAUUACCUGGUUUGUAUAUACCUACCUUGAAUACAUAAUUUUGUAAAAAUAUAACUAGUUCAUUAAACCGUUAUGAAUAUCUCAAUACAUUACUGUGAUAACGUGGUUUUUAUAUAGAGUAACUCUAUGGGUUUUUGAUUAGAUCUUAUCAUUAUCAACCUGCAAUAGUUUUUCAUCCCGUUAUUGAUUUAAUCUACUUCUGAGUCUGUUGUAAAAAUAAUAUUCAAUCUUUUUUAUUUUAAAAUACUUUUGAAUUAUAAAAAAAAAAAAAAAAUAUUUUGUCAAUCAAGCUACCCAAGAAGGAGCUAUACACACAAAAUAUCCCCACAAUAAAUUAAAAAAUGAAUUAUUUGGAAUGUCUGAAUCCCUACAUUCUAAAAGAUUCUGUUUCCAGAUUUUGGGAAACAAUUUACGAGUAGCCAACUCGUUCGCAACUUAAAUAAUAAACUUUAAUAUUAAAUAAUUAACUAAAUAAUAAUUAUCUAAAAUGGCAGCAAAUGGUGCGUUGAUGUUAAUUUUUAAAAAUAUCGAGUUGAUUUAUUUUUAAAAAGGUUUGUAAAAAUUCUAGCCUAGACAGGUUUUUAUGCCAUUCUGGAAAAUUCAGUUUUAAGAAUAGGUAUGUUCCCUUUCUGAAAUUAGUGAUUCAUAUAUUCUCUUACAAUGCUAUACAGAAGAGGAGGUUGUGCAUAACGUUGAAAUGAGGGAAGACAAAUUGAGAAAUUGAAGCAUAUUUAAUAUGAUUAAAUCGUCUAUUAAACCCAAACACAUAUCCAUGAUUCUAUAUUUGUCCGAACAAUGGGUAAUGUUUUUUUUUGUUUUCAUAGAAAUUGUUUUACAGCAAUUCACCAUUCUUCGAUGUUACUUACUUUUUUAUUAAUUUCUUUAUAUGAAAUAAAUAUAUUUUGAUAUAUCCAUCACAUGUCCAACCCAUUUGUUUUUUUUUUCUUAAUUCUUUUCAUAAAAUUGUCCAUAAAACUCUUCCCAUAAAUGAGUCGUUGAUAUAUUGAUAACUUAAUUUGUGAUGGCUUACAGGUGUCCUACAAUGUUAUUAUUAUGCUAAUAAUUCUGUCAAUAUUCAUUUUUUUUUUCAUACGGGUUUUGUUCGAGAAGGGUAAAUGUAGAGAAAAAUUAAAUUUUUAUUUUCAUCUCUUUUAAAAUAGUCAUAUUAUAAAAGAUAAUUUUCUUCAAAUUUAAAUAUAACAUAUAUUCAUAUCCGAUCAAUAUUUUCUUUGUAGUAGCUGUUUUGAUUUUAGAAAAUAGAUGUGAAAACAAUUAAUAUGCAAAAAAAAAAAAUGAAUAUGUAUAGAGUUAUUAGUAUUAGAAUAAUACUGUAUGACACUCUGUAUAAUCUACGUCAUUAGCAGGGGAAGGGGUGCCUUUCAAAAUGCAUCUAAGUGACACACUGAUGACAAUCUUAUAAUUAUAAAUCAAGGUAAUUCAGGUACAAUCUUAGGUAUUUAGUUAUUCACAUUGAUAAAGAUCAAUGUGUAAAAUAAAAUAAUAUUAUUAAUUGUUUUUAAUACCUAUUCAAUUAAUUUACUUACGCAUUUACAUAGCACAUCGCAUAUCUACAAAUUUACAAUUGUGUUUUUAAUUAACCUACUUCUAAAAUUAUUAAAUGAUAUAAAUGCACGUAAUUUUUUUAAGAUUUAAUUUUAACACAAUCAUUGAAAAGAUUUAAACUCCAAUUUAUGUUAUUAUGUAUUAUAUUAAAUCUAUAUUAUUAUAUUUAUUAGCCAUUGUUAUAUUAUAAAAUAAAUAUUCGUUAUUAUAUGGCAGUGCCAAAUGGUCGACCGCGAUCGAUCAGUAGAUCGCAGAUGAUUUAAAUGUCGAUCUCCACUUUGUUAGAAUUUAUUUUUAUGUAAUUUGUAGGUAAAUAAUAAUAAUUGCUGAUCUUUUUUAUAUUAAUAUAUUAUCUUUAUUUUGGUGUAAAUUUAUCAAAUAAUACUUAUAAUUCAACAGAGUUUAUUCUGGCGAUUGUAUUUACAGUAAUAUUACCUAUAUUAAUGUUAAUACUAGUCCGAUGAAAAACAUUAUAUAACUAUAAAUUUUAGUUUUAUUAUUUUGUAUAUGCAUGUUUAUUAUUAAUACCUAUUAGAUAAUUUAUAAUCAUACAUUUUUGUUAGGAAGUCGAUCCUCAAAAGAAAAAUACAUUUUUAGUAGAUCUUUACCAAAAAAAAGUUUGGCCACCCCUGUUAUACGGCAUACGCUAUGGUAAAAAUAUAAUAUAAUAAUAAUUAAUUAUAAGUACCUAUUACUCACCUGAAUUUUUUUGUUGGUACCUAAUAUUACAAAGAUAGUUCUAGAUAAAAAUAAAUAAAAGUAGGUACAAAGUUAAAAUAUAUUAAAUAUUAAAUCAUAAAUAUAGGUAUAAGUAAAAAUGUGUAUAAAACAUGCAUUUAAAUGUAUUUUUAAUCUUAUAAAAUUGUACGUGAAUAUAAUUAUAUAUUAUUUACACCUACGUCAAAAAACCGUGUUGAAAAAUAUAUAAAUUUGAUUGGCUUUUUAAUGUUUUUAUACAUACAAUGCAAAAUAUAACUAAUAUUUGUCCUUAGAAUUUAAUACUCUGUGAAAAUCGAUCAAUUCAUUGAAUAAAUAAACGAUAAAACUAGAAUUAAUUACCUAUUAAUAAUGGCAGCUUAACAAAUUAUGUUGUAUUGUUUAUAUUUUGAACAAGUUUUAUUAUUUACAAUAUGCAUCAAGCUUGAAUGUACGUUGUUUAAGAUUUUAUGUUUUUUUUUAUUUUCGUAUUAUUUGUUUCUAAAGACUAAAAUUAUCUGUUUGUUUAUAGCUAGCAAUCUAUAACAACUUUUCUAUCAGAACUAUUUCUCCUUCUUAUCAUCAACUUUAAGGGUGGUCAUUUUCUUUAUAGUUAUUUUAAUAUGUAGUUGAGAAAAUCCAGGAAAAACGUUAAAAAAAUUAAACAAUUUAUGCAAUAAUGUUUUCUGUUAUUCGAUCUACUGAUAGCCAUUUGAAAAUAUCGAGUUUUUUUUAGUUUUAUGUGGAUAAAAUUGUUUAAGUCCAGUAAAAAUACUAAUAAAUACAACACAAGGUGGGCCAUAAGUAGUACGUGUUAAUAAAUAUUGUUUUAAACUAUUAUUAUUAUUAUUUUUUUUUUUUUAAAAAACCUUCAAGUUUGUAUGAAAACUGUAAAAACCGCGGCAUUUAAAAAUAAUGUUUAGCUGAAAUUUGCUCAGAAUCGUAUUUUUUAUUUAUCGUUGCUUACAAAUUUAAAUUAAAUUACUCUAUAAUAUAUCUCAACUUCCCAACUUGUGUUUUGCUUUUUUUUUGAGUUGUAAAAAAUGAAACUGUAGUGCGGUAUUCCUAAGCCGUUUAAUAAUAGUAUCGAUUAAACAUUAUGUCCCUUAUUGCAUUAUUAUUAUGUCAGUUUGUAUAUACCAGCACGGUGACAACCUAAAAUAAAAACGAGUGAUCUAUUAUCCUAUAUAUAAUUUAUGUUUUUGGAGCAAUAUUAUAAAUUGCAAUUGUACACGGAAUCUUUGAGUUUACUAUUAUUUUAAAAAAAAUAAAAUAAAACAGCCCUAAGGCGCAUGUAAGUAACUAAUAUAGUGUUGGUAUGUUUCAUAUUGUAGACGAACAAGAGAGAGUGCAGAAGAAGACUUUUGUUAACUGGAUAAACUCGUAUUUGUGUCAAGUAACGUAUUUUUACUAAAUAUCGUAAAUAUUAUUAGGUAUAUUACCUAGUUUAUCAUAUUGUGUUUAUUGUGUUAUCGUAGAGAAUACCGCCACUAAAAAUAGAAGACUUGAUUGAAGAUCUUAAAGAUGGUACUAGGCUUCUUGCAUUACUGGAAGUUUUAUCAGGAGAAAAUUUGGUAACUAAUUAUAGUUUAUAAUUGUAAUGUAUCUUUUAAAAUACCUGUGCCUAAUUUAAAGAUUCAUAUGAUACAUACCUAUUAUAUUUUAAGGCUAUUGAACGCGGUCGUAACAUGAGGAGACCUCAUUUUUUGAGUAAUGUUAAUACUGCAAUACAAUUUUUACAAAGCAAACGGGUAAGUUAUAAUUUUAUGAUUGGGUACUAAACUAUUUUAAUAUGUACGAAAUAUGAUGUUUAUUUAUGUAUUCUAUAUUUUUAAUUUAGAUCAAAUUAGUAAAUAUAAAUUCUGCCGAUAUCGUGGAUGGACGACCUCCUAUUGUUUUAGGGCUCAUCUGGACUAUAAUUUUAUAUUUUCA